rnacentral:rRNA from 1 species
UACAGAGGGGGCAAGCGUUGUUCGGAAUUACUGGGCGUAAAGGGCUCGUAGGCGGCCAACUAAGUCAGACGUGAAAUCCCUCGGCUUAACCGGGGAACUGCGUCUGAUACUGGAUGGCUUGAGUUUGGGAGAGGGAUGCGGAAUUCCAGGUGUAGCGGUGAAAUGCGUAGAUAUCUGGAGGAACACCGGUGGCGAAGGCGGCAUCCUGGACCAAUACUGACGCUGAGGAGCGAAAGCCAGGGGAGCAAACGGG